rnacentral:rRNA from 1 species
CAUACUUUAUAUAACCCACGUUUGGGUUUUGCAAUUAAGAAAGUCCAGCGUUCACAACGUAGCAAGUAAUAGUAGUUGUUUGUUUUUGUACGUAGAGCUAACCGUUCGUGCCUGCUUAAGAUCGAGUAUUGCAUCGACGGUUCUAUGUUAAUUAACACACGUUUCGCCUUGUUGUGUACGUCAAGUGUACCAAAUAGCGAGCCUCUUCAGACAAAAAAUGAUAAAGUGAAACCGUGACACAUUCGAGCGAUUCACGGGUUAGGCGAACUUCUCGAUACGCUCCAGUUCAUCAGGUUAUUGGUUUAUUUUCGUAAUGUUCCACGAGGAAAGUAAAAAUAAAUGAGACGUAUAAUCUCAACUGAUUUCAGUUUGAGGUAUUUCAAAUUAGUUCAAAUAUCUUCUUUUAUAUUUGUGAAUAGCAAGUUUAGAUAUACUACACUUUCAUGUAAGUUAUUAUUUAGAUUAUCAUAAUUAACAAAUAACAUAUACAAUUAUAAAAACAAAUAUUUGAAACAGUCUCAAAUAUUUCGAACUGAAAUUAGUUUAGAUUAUACGUCUGAUUUAUUUUUGCUUCCCUUAUGAUAUGUGUUUGUUUCUUUCCCUGUUGAUUAGUAUAGUAUUUACGAGUUCAAAAUUAUAAAGCGUACGUUAGGGUUACAGAACAGUAUCUCCGUUUUUUCGCGUUGAUGUUUUCAGUAUCGCUCACUUCUUUGACGUCUCUACCCGGUAUAGUUCCGCUUCCCCGUUUAAUAAGCUCCAGUGAGUGACACUAGUUGGAGCAGUAAGUUUCACCCUUUCCACCCUCCGGUCUAUCAGUAUUCCCCUUUCUAUCAACAUGUUAUAUAUGGGAUGUGGAACUAGAGUAUAUGGCAGAGGGAGGACGAGGAGUAUAGUUGUCUUUACUAUCGAGAUGAAAGUCCUUCCGCAAAAACGCGCUUGACGUUUGUGCAAAACGCCCGGCCCUCCUACGCCCCAGACGAUCUCAACGAAAAUCGAUCUGGUCCCCGACUCGACCCCAGGGGCCGUUGAUCCCGGUACCGGGCCUAACGUUGCUUUUGAGGCCGGGUAGAAGAUGCACCUUUUUAUAACUGGGCCCUACGUCGCGUUCAAAACCAGUCGGGUUACGUUGAGCGAGCGGGUCCUCUUGUACUCUCGCUCCUGGUCCCAACCCUGACACAGGGCAGCGAGCGACGGGGGGAGACGAGCGAGCUACGUAGCGAACCGGCAACGCCUUCCCCGCGUGGCGGCGGGGGCCGGGUCCAGCGGAGGAGGUCAGAGGUCUCCAAGGUCAGGAGGCGGAGCCCCCUGGCAGCCGGCCGCUGGACCGCGGCGGGCUAAAGACGACCAGCCUCUUGGUGAGGACGACGACUAAUGAGGAGCAACAGCCUCAACAUACCUUCGUCCUCUGGUAGUUUAGCCGGUUGACGUAUUUAAGAACGAUGACUUCUCUUUUGACGUCUUCUCUGGUGGUUUACAACCUAGAACUAACGGCGACCAGCCUCUUCUUGAGGACCAGGACUAACGAGUAGCCGCGAAGACGUCGAGAGGAGCUGAUCGGUUGGACCAUUACAAAACAAAAUCCUUGUUAUAUCCUUCUUGUUGACUGAUAUACCAAAUGGUUAACAAACGGUGACUAAAGUGUAAAAUCCAGAUUUCUACUUAUAUAAAAUAGAUAAUUAUUAGAGUUGUGACUUCGUUUAUUCUUUACGUUUAGAGUUUGGAUUAUUCGAGGAUGUUGGCUCGAAAGAUACGGUAAUGUUGUCGAAAAGAAACCAUCAAAAAAAAACUGGAUUGUAAAAACGGGGAGGUUAGGAACGAUGUGGUGACAUGAUAUGAUAUAUAUUUGACUUUAAUAAAGAUUUACAUCUUUAUCAUAGCAGUUGUGUCCGGGUAAAUCCACCGAAUGUCGGUAGGGCUCAUUAGUUUAUAUUGCACGGGGGAACGUGGGUUGCUAUAUAAUAUGCUUAAAGAAUGUGUGAUAGUGAUAAGAGAGAGAGGUGCCGACAAAUGCAAUUAAGAUUUGUUUCCCGGGAACGACGAGUUUGACUUUCUUUGACACAAAGAACAGUGAACACAGGUUUCAGUUGAUGUUAUGUUGACAUGAAGAACGGUGUUAGUAACAACGUUUCGUCCCGUUUCGCCGAACUCAAUCCGCAUGACAAGAGGAGAUAGAAUCUCGUAGAGAUCGUCUGUGGCGUAAAGGCCGUUUUGACAUUUUAUUGACGGCAAAACGGCAAAGCCCGGCUUUUUUGCGACGGUCUGGUCUAUGGCAUUUUCACUGGCCGGACGUUUUUUUAAACUCCCCGCGCCGUUAAAGGGGGAGGCUUUGACAGUUUUUCCGUAAACGCACCAACCGGGCUUCCGCGGGAGAUAGGGAUCUAGCUAAACCGCCCUCUCUGUAAAGUGGCGCCGUCAAGGCCGAAAGGGGGAGGCAGCGGCCGCGUUUAGAAGUGGAGGGGCGAGGCCGUCUGGAGUGGCGCCGGAGGUCACUCCGGUACCUGUGGGGGCUGAGGUGCGAGUAGUGACACCUUCAUCCCAAUCGGUUUAGCUGCCGCCCGCCGCGGCGCCACCUAGAGGGGUGAUCACUACGACACCCGCGCAGGCUUCGAAGGAGGCCGCAACAAGGAGCGUUCGCCGACUCGUUGCAGUAGCACGUCCCUCCGUGCGGGCGAGGGCGGCGGUGGUAUCGGCGGGGCUUCUCCCCACGAGCGUGAUGUCGAGUGCGACGGCGAACGGGAUGGCAGCAGUCAUUGUAACCACUAUGGCUCGGCUGCGUCGGACACUCCUUGCAGCACCGUUUUGCGUUCGCCCGCGGACGUUGGUUCUUCCGGGGACGCUCAAGAUGCGAGCGGGGGACGGCGGCGGGGUGGCCACAAGCUACUUUACGGGCGUUCCAUGCAGGCGGGGGUGGUCAAAACUAACAGCGGCAAGCCCAAAAUCGAGUUAUUAAACCCCUGAUACGCUGAGAAACAUCGAGGCUGAUACGCCGAGAGGAACUCCAUUUGCGUCACUUGUAACUCUUACGUGGGGAGCUUCUAAUACAUAUGCUGUUCUACCUGCCGCCCCAUGUGCCACCGCCGCUACUUCUCCUACUCAACGUUCUCUAACUUCCCCUCCAGAAGCUCCGUAGCGUUUGCCGUUGUAUAUCGUUUUCCAGCUUCUCGAUAUGGGUUUAUCUCCUACUCCACGACUAGGCUCGAACCCUCCGGCAGAGGGAGCUACGGUAGGUGCCGUGGCUGGUUUGGCCCUUCUCCAUAACCGUUUCCUAUCUUCUGUUCAAGAAGGCCAACUACGGUUCCUUACAACUCGACUGUGGUGCGUGGAUAUCUGGUGAGGUUCCUCCAACCCUACACUAGUUCCGCCGCCAAUCGACCACCACACCUACGAACCUCGUUCACAUGUUACGUGGAGGUCCACCGUGAUUACUUCGGCUAACCCUAUUUUAACGUCGGCGCUCCAUAUCCCUGUACGGCCGUAGGUCCCCGUUCGGGAAACGUAAGCUCGUAACAACUCGUAACGAAUUCUUUUCGCUCUUUACCUUCCACUCCCUAUUUCUUCGUGGUGGCUUCUCUCCAUGGAAGUGGAACAUCCUACUACUUCUUCUACUACUUCCUCCCUCUUUGUUCCAAUCCGGCCUACCGUUGUUCUUCCGGUUCCUCUUAUACUUCUUCCUCAGGCUGCGUAGUUCAAACUCUCUGUUCUAUCUAGUAUACCACGUGAGUUUACUCAACUACCAAUGGUACUGAUAUCUUCGUUUUUUUUCUCAACCGUUACUUCUCCAGAGUUCUCUUUCUCCUCUUCACUUGGAUUAGUUCCUCCUCUUCAACACGUUCCGUCGGCACCUUCUCCGCCUAUCCAACGCGUUCCGGCGUUAACUCCUCUUUUCUCGGGUUCGGCUCCUUUGGUUCCGAGAACGGUUCGAGUAACGGUCCUCUUGUUUUAGUACUGGUACUUGGCAUUACUCUACCUACGCGAUUGGAACCUCGCCGUACUAAACUACUCUUUCCCCUAGAACCUCGCUUCUUCCUACCGAAGGUUGCCACCACAACCACGACCACCACAACUACCACGAACUACCAACAAGUAGUUCCAAAGUGGUGAAAUAACAACAACAAAACUACGUUUUUACAAGUUAAGCCAAGGGAUCUACGAAUUUUGAUAUAAUAAACAAUAAAAAUACACUCUUGAUAUAUACAACUUAAAGGCUUGAUAAGAACAAUUAACAGCCUUAAAGAAAACUUAACACGUUAAGACAAAAACGCCAAACGUCCAGGUAAGAACGGACGUCGUCUUGUUUGUGGCGUUACGGCUUGAUAAGAACAAUUAACAGUCUUAAAGAAAACUUAACACGUUAAGACAAAACGUCAAGCCGUAACACCACAGACAAAACGGCGCCCGUUUUUAUUUGGACGUUUGGACAAACAGCGCGGGGAGUAGCAUCCAAACGCCCGACCGCCUUACGCCACACCCGAUUUCUACGAGAAUAGGGCCGUUUCGUGCAUGGAAUGGUUAAGGUUCGACACCUUCCUUGUAAAGAGAGAGCAACUGAGGGAUUUUAUAUAUGCUCAACAUGUUACAAUAAAUUAGUAGUGUAAUAACAGGGGGAUCACGAUAAUUGUCCCGUGUAAUAAGAGACAGGGUUCAGGGUUGUUGGCAAUCGCACCGGGUCUAGCUGACGGCGGUGGCGAUCAGAAAGACGGUAUAAAGAAAGAAAUAAACUCUUUAAGUAUCAGUUUGAUGAGUAUCAGUAUCGGUUACCUUUACCGUUGGUCGAAGAAAGACCUAUGAUCAUGUAGUAAUUGUUGCUUUUUUAUUAUUCUAACCCUACGUUGGUCUACAAUUUCUUAAACCCAAGUAGAGAUGAACCCGCCAUCGGAAGAGGACGGUUCUCUUAGUUUAUGAAGUUGUGUUCUUUUUAUAUCCUUUGUCGAUCUAUAUCCUUUUUUUUGUUCUCUCACCUGAAAAGGGUUACUAAGGGAUGUAUUUUGGUAUGGUAGCCGUUAGUGAUUGUAGUCCUAGAGUAGGGGUCGAACCUAACAGUGCUUAGUCCCGCACUGAAGGGGCCUUUGGUCGAUCAGCCGGCUCGCCACACCAAAGAAGAAUAGAGCAACUCCAUUCGCUAGAACGUACAAUUUAAGAAGACGGCGCGACUUUAACUUUACGAGGUUUAACCCAGUAAGAAUUCUUUGCAAAAAAACUUGAGGGAGGUUAGGCUUUAAGCACAGCGGUCGAAUCAUCCUUAAACAUGACUGGUUAACAACAAAGAUGCUGUGAAUUUAGCAAUCUCGAACAGAUGACAAUGAAACGCAGGAAACG